rnacentral:lncRNA from 1 species
ACGACUCAAGAAUGCACGAUGGUUUCGUACGUGCAAGACAGCAUGUGCAGCGACUGAGGAAUUAGUACUUGGAAGCUUCGAUACCUGGAGAACCUGUUCCUCGCUUUUGCUUGUGAUGAAGAUUACUCGAUAGGUGUUUGCUGCUAUACACACAUAACUAUGGUAAUUUGUUUUGGACACAAUAUCUAUUUUAAACUAGUAAUAGCAAUAUAUAAAGGAGGGAGAUGAUUUUAUAAAUGAUCAUUCUGCCCCUGGCACAAUUUGCCAAAAAGCAACCCAACAGACGAGAGAAUGGACUGCUCCAUUCACCGAUCACCACUCGAGGAUCAUCACUUGAGGAGCCUCCAAUGGUUUAGUCCUCUAGGGAUUUAUUUUUGAGAUUACACAGUACAACGCAGACACUCAACACGCACGCACACUCAUCCUUAUGAACACACGUACGCAAACCCUACCCCUAUAAGCACCUUCGAAGGACUGAGCCAGCAAAUCUUGAAGUUCACGAAGUCACCACAGGCGUCUCGCUGUCGACGGGCACGUCGCCUACCACUUAAUGCAUAGCGCCGAAAAAUCCUGGAAUAAAUCCAGAAUAAAGUGCCGCACCCAGGAUUUGAACCCUGGGUGGGAGCCCCCAACCAAUGGCCUUUGCACCCAAAUUAUAGAUAAACUAUACAAUUAGUUAUUUAUUUUAUUUAUAUUUAAUAAUCUGUAAAUGUACCAGAAGAUUCGAUGUAACGAGAAAUCUAAAAAAAUUUACAAAUUUUUUUAACUAAACAAAGCCUCACCUUGGAUGCAGGGAUGUCAAAAAGAAAAAAAAAACAUGGAUGCAGCAAUUUUACGUGGUACGGAGUAUUGUCUAAAGUGCGUUGAAGAACAAAACCGGAAGAAUGUGUCAAAUUUGCAUAAAGUGACGCAACUUACAUCUACCUAAAACGUGCUCCUAUGGCC